GCCGAAAAGUCCGUUUUAAAAGAUGAUGUAUACAAAUUAUAGCACGGAGAGGGAACGGGCAAGUUGUUUCCUCUUUCCAUGCCUCCAACUCCUCUGAAAUGUGGGUCAUGAUGAUAAUAGGAAAAACUGUCUCUGCCAUAGAGAGGUGGAAAAAGUCCCGCGAAGUGUCCCCGGUAUCUAGAAAGCGCUCAGUAGUGUUUGCUGUUAUCUUAGGGAUAUCAGGCUGCCUGGACAUUUCUCAGAGGAUGAAGGGGAUUGUAGUAAGGAAGACCACCUUCCAGAGGAUGAAGGGGAUUGUAGGAAGGAAGACCACCUUCCAGAGGAUGAAGGGGAUUGUAGGAAGGAAGACCACCUUCCCGGGGCUGGGCAAGGCUGCGGUACUGUCUCUCAUCAGGUCCAGGAGGACUCAGCAGGCUGAUGCAGAGGGACACAGCGCAUCCGCCUUGGUGGAUGCAUGGCUUUCCUGGCUCCCCUGGGACGGGGGAGGAGGGUGAAGAUGGAGGGAAUCUGGCUGGCUGGGCCUUGUGUACUGGGGGGUGGAGGGCCCAUUUGACUGCAGGAAUUGCUCAAGCACAUAAGCACCUUGAAGUGUGUUACUAAGAUACAAGAAACAGGUUUGCUUUUGCCUAUUCCAGCAUGGUGUACCUCUCUUAGGAUACCUUUUAGCACAGGUAGCAGAAUACCAGCCAGCCUCCUGUGGCUCACAGCAUUAAGAUAUUUAAUCAUCUGACAUUACAUGAAGUCCAGUGUUAGGCAGGCAGGAGCUGCUCCCGUGACUCAGUGACAUCAGGUUGGUCCACAUCCUAGCAGUUCUCUUGGUGUUCCUGCGUGAUCAAAGGAUGACUGCCACACCCCAGCCUGCUGACCUCAGCCCUGGCGUGGGCAUAGGAGGGUCUGCGUGGCUGAGCAUCCAGUGUCCUUCGUACUGCCACUGACAGCCUCAGGCCUGAUUUCCAGCACUGUCUGUCCAGGAGCAAUGGGAGCAAGAGUCACUCCACGAGACUCUGGAGGCCUGAUAGGUGAGUACAUCCACUUUAUAGGGGAAAUGGUGGGAUGCUGGGUCUGUGUGGUCAGAGAUACAGGUGAAA
rnacentral:lncRNA from 1 species